UACAGAGGGUGCGAGCGUUAAUCGGAAUUACUGGGCGUAAAGCGUGCGUAGACGGUUAUUUAAGUCAGAUGUGAAAGCCCCGGGCUCAACCUGGGAAUUGCAUUUGAGACUGAAUAGCUAGGGUACGGUAGAGGGAAGCGGAAUUUCCGGUGUAGCGGUGAAAUGCGUAGAUAUCGGAAGGACAUCAGUGGCGAAAGCGGCUUCCUGGACCAGUACCGACGUCAGGCACGAAAGCGUGGGGAGCAAACAGGA
rnacentral:rRNA from 1 species